rnacentral:rRNA from 1 species
CCUACGGGUGGCAGCAGUGAGGAAUAUUGGUCAAUGGACGAGAGUCUGAACCAGCCAAGUAGCGUGAAGGAUGACUGCCCUAUGGGUUGUAAACUUCUUUUAUAUGGGAAUAAAAUGUUCCACGUGUGGGAUUUUGUAUGUACCAUAUGAAUAAGGAUCGGCUAACUCCGUGCCAGCAGCCGCGGUAAUACGGAGGAUCCGAGCGUUAUCCGGAUUUAUUGGGUUUAAAGGGAGCGUAGGUGGAUUGUUAAGUCAGUUGUGAAAGUUUGCGGCUCAACCGUAAAAUUGCAGUUGAAACUGGCAGUCUUGAGUACAGUAGAGGUGGGCGGAAUUCGUGGUGUAGCGGUGAAAGGCUUAGAUAUCACGAAGAACUCCGAUUGAGAAGGCAGCUCACUGGACUGCAACUGACACUGAGGCUCGAAAGUGUGGGUAUCAAACAGGAUUAGAUACCCGUGUAGUC